UCGCGCAGUGUUCGGAAAUCGCGCAUGCGUGUUGUGGACAAUAGACUCCGAAGGAUCAGCGCAGGUAUAUAGCCCACUGCAUGAUUAAACAAAGAUAACAAACAGAACAGUGACAUGAGUUGAAUGAACUAAACUGCUUAACUGAAAGAGGUGUAGAAGGAAUCAAACUGGGUGAAGGACAACCAAACUAAAAGGUGAGGGUGUGGCAGAUGUGACAGUUUAACCUUGAAAUCCUCAAUUCUUACACAAUGGCAAGAGUGAGCAUUGCAACAAGACACAAGGUAGUCAUUCUGCAUCAGCAAGGUCUCUCCCAAGCGGAAAUUUCGCGGCAGACAGGAGUUUCAAGAUGUGCUGUCAAAGCUCUUCUGAAGAAGCACAAAGAAACAGGCAAAAUUGAGGACCAGAAACGCAGUGGUCGGCCACGGAAACUGAGUGCAGCAGAAGAGAGAUACAUCAUACUGACAUCCCUUCUAAAUCGGAAAAAGUCCAGCACUGCUAUUAGCUCUGAACUCACAGAAACUACUGGAACUCAAGUACACCCCUCUACAGUUCGGAGAAGUCUUGUCAGAAGUGGUCUUCAGAAACUGAAAGAAUGUAAGAAAGCGCAGGCUCGAUUUCAAGUGGGUGGUCCUGUGAGUGAUGCUACAAGUGAUGCUAGUACUGCUAGCAUUCCGCCCAGUGAAACACAUGCUUCUGAAGCUCCGCCUGAGGAAUUACAGUUUACAGUGAACAGUCUCCCUAUGCAGCACUGCUAUCCGAACUCCAGAGAAUUACAGCCUAUAUUGGACAGACGCCUGGAACAGGGACACCCUCUGAACUCUAAAGAAUUACAGGAUGGACAUUGCAUAGAUUCUGCGGAGUCCCCUAGCGACUCAAGUGAGGAUGACAGUGAUGAAGCAGUAAGAUUGACAGCUAUGUCACAACUUUCUCCAAUAAAGACCAAGGGAGUGAAGAUACGUAUGACUGAAGAUGACACUAUUAAUAAGCUAGUGGUAGGUCCAUCAACUAUUGCUCAACCACUCAACAAUCUCUUGAAGGACAGGGGGAGGCAUGGCAGUGUGGUGGUUAGCACAGCACUUUACAGCACCAGCAACCCAGGUUCAACUCCUGCUGCUGUCUGUAAGAAGUUUGUACGUUCUCCCCGUGACCGUGUGGGUUUCCUCCGGGUGUUCCGGUUUCCUCCCAAAGUCCAAAGACGCAGUGGUUGGUAGGUUAAUUGGUCUUUAUAAAUUGUCCUGUGAUUAGGCUUGGGUUAAAUCAGGUGUUGCCAUGCGGUGCAACUUGAAGGACUGGAAGGGCCUAUUCUGCUUCAUUUCUCAAUAAAUAAAGUGCUCAGGUGACCCUCUGACUCUUAAUGAAGAACAACUGUAAGCAUUUCAAACUUUAAAGGUGAUAUUGUGCACUACAUCUGUAUUAAGAAUCCCUGAUAGAGGUACAUAAUUCACUCAGUAUAUCAAAGAGAAAUAUAUGAUAGCAGUCUUAAUUCAACAACAUGGAGCCCGACAGCAUCCUGUUCAUUAUUACGUUGCCAAAGAUCUGAUUCUGUACAUUGAUGAUUCAGUGAUUGAGAGAGGAAUUUGAAUGAUGAUAUAUGGAACCUGAAUGAUGAUUUAUGGAACUGAAAUGCUGGCAUCAAGAAGCAUGGCUCCUGAUACCUCUAUCCAACAGGCAAAAUUAAAAGCUUUGAUUGAAGUCUGUAAAUUGGCAAAAGAAAGAUCAGAUUAUAUUGCCAUUGAUUCUCAAUAUGCUUUUGGAGUUGUCCAUGGUUGUGGAAUUCUAUGGAGACAGAGGUUUUCUUAAGGCUGUAGGAAUCCCAAUCAAGAAUGGCCAUCUUGUACAAGAGCUUAUGCAUGUCAGGAAACUGUUGUCAAAAGUUGCUGCAUUAAAAUGUAAAAGCCACUCUAAGAUGACUACAUUGGAAAUGCAUUGGUGGAUGAAAUUUCGGAACAGGUUAGCAUUGGAAGGAAUAAAAGAAAUAUAUAGUGAACCCAACAACUGGAAUUUUGGAAGCAAAGGUGAACUCUGCAGAAGAACAUCCAAAAUAAUCUUGUACAGCAAAUAUACAUAAUUGGGGUGCAAAAGAUGUUUGACAGAUUGUCCCAGUGGUGGUGGAAUCCAUCAUUCAGGGCACAAGCUUGACACAAGUUAGAAAGAUGCCCGACUUGCCAGAAAAUAAAUCCUGCAGCAGCGGAAAAACUACCACAAUUAGGUGCUCCUGCCCCACCUGGUCCACUUUUACAGUUAAUACAUUUCCUACUAAAGAUACUAAACUGGUAAAAUUGUGCAAGUUUUCAAGAUGAGCGGAAGCUAUUCCAGCAAGGAAAGCUACUGACACCCCCCCCCAUGCACACCUGCAUUCCUAGUUGGGAGAUCACCACGUCAUGUUGACAUUGGCCAAAGAACAUAUUUCACUGGUAGUGUUUGUUGGGAGUUAUGUCAACUGAUGAAUAUUGAAUGGUAUUUUCAUUGUCCACAUUAUCCAGAAUCGUAAUGACAAGUAGAAUGAUUGAAUGGAAUCAUUAAAAAAAAAUGACUGACCAGGUAUCAUAAGGAAGGUGUGCCAUGGCUUAUAGCUCUUUCUGUGGUCUUGUGUAGCAUAACAACAACUCCAAAUGACAAUUAAACUUAAGUCCAUUUGAGCUGGUAACAGAUUGUCCUAUUUCCUAUUGGGACAGCAUGGCAGUGUAGUGGUUAGCACAACACUUUAUAGCUGUACCUGGGUUCAAUUCCUGCAGUUGUCUUUAAGGAGUUUGUAUGUUCUCUCCUUGACUCUGUGAGUUUCCUCCAGCUGCUCUACUUUCCUCCCACAGACCAAAGACGUACCAGUUAGUAGGUUAAUUGCUCAUGGUAAGUUAGACUAGGGUUAAAUAGGUGGGCUGCUCAGUGGCGUGGAUUGGAGGGCCUACUCCACGCUAUAUCUCAAUACAAUACUUGUCACUUCCAGGAGCCCUCUAUAUCAGCGAGGCUGAUACACACAUUAUGUCAGACAGUUUAGUUAACUAUUGUCUGAACUUAACCCAAACUAUCAGGGCUGCUUCUCAACCAUUUCUGCCGUUGGGUGGACCCAGUAGAAGGAGGACACACCCUGAGUUCUGGUGAUUGGGUCUUGAUUAAGAAAACAUGUAAGGAACCACUGGGAGCUGGAAGUGAGCUGAAGUGGUAUUCUAUGAAAACAGUAAGUGCUGUGAUUAAUGUGCUAGUAACCUCUUGGUCACAGUGCCUACACUGCUGAGCUACACUGAGGGAAUGAUUAACCAGCCAGAAGACUAUAAGCCAGCUACUGCAAGUGAGUUAAAGUACCUGACAAAGACUAGCACUGCGGUUAAUGUACCAGUAACUUCUGUCACAGUCUAUGCUGCUUGCCUACAGUGAGCAAAUUACUGACCAGCCAGAAGACUUCAAACAAGUUGAAAACUAAUGGACAUUAUUGUUUCUUCUAAUAUUAUUUGUUGUUAAAUUUUUGCCAAUUUUCUCACUCAUAAUUUGCCUGUUGAGAUGACUCAUUAUGUAUACUUGCAUUAUUGAUGACCUGAAAUAUUACAAUUCAACAAAGCUCCUGUCAAGUAAUAAAUGGUCUAAGUUCAUGGAGCAAUAUGUACUUUAUGUGCAGAGAGGGAACCUAUACCUCCUUUCCAUGUGAUCAGUUAGGAUCUUGUAUGUUUUUCCUGCCAUAAGACAUACAUACACCUCAUCUUUACCUCCUAAGUCUAGGACAAGGGUUCCCAACCUGGGGUCCAUGCAUCCCUUGGUUAAUGGUAGGGGUGCAUGGUACAAAAAGAUUGGGAACUCCUGGUCCAGAAGUAAAUGAGUUAUUUCAGAAGGAGAUCAUUUAGCAUUAAUUUUAUUCCCAUUUUUUGGUGUUGCAAGGAGUAUUCAGGAGAUUGAAAAUGUUCCUGCAGCCUUAGGAAGAGUAAGGAAUGACACUGCUGAAGAUGGCAGAAGUAACAACAGAAAUUACUCCCAUGCGGCACAGUUAGUGCAGUCAGAAUGGCUCCAGAGGACUGUAUUUUAUUCUGUGUGUGAGAUGUGGGAAUUCUGGAACAACACCAGCCUUCCGGAUAACGACAUUUGCACCAGGUACACUGAGUGCUGCUCCUCAGGAAAAGUGUUGGGAACUGGAUACUAACUUGAUGACCUUCAGCUCGUAUGAGAGAUUGAGGAAAUGAUAGAUUGGAGCUACAGGGAGGUGGACACCUCUAGCUUUCAGAAGGAUUCCAGGUUAUUGCUCCUGCUGUUCCAGCUAAAAGCUCCUAGAUUUCUGUUUCCUGGUUCUCCAGUUUCCCGGUCAAGUUUUUUUCACUGUCAAGCUGGAGUUUUUGUUCUUCUUUGAACAUGUUCAGCUUCCCCACUUGAAGGAGAUUGAAUGCGUCUACCCGAAGGUUUCUUAACAAGAUUCCACUCAAUGAACAAACAACUUUUCCUUUUUCCUCCUUUUAUUUUUCACAAGUGCGGCAGUUUGAUAGUACCAUUAGUCAUUGGUCCUUAGGUGAAAAAACUGGCUGCCUCUCCGGACUUCGUAGACGGAUUCCUGCAGUCUCCGCUCUCUAAUGGACCGUUAUGUUUUCAAACCGGAUGAACCCUCCCGAAGAUUCUCCAUCCCUUCUUAAACCUCACGCCAUUUCCGAGAAGCGCCUGUGAGCGAUGGUCCCUGUGACGAAGCUAGCGCUAACCCAAAUGCGGUGACAGCAGUGCUCUUUUCUAUUAAACAGUCUCAAGUUAUUUAAAGUUCAGCAUCUUACCACAGAUUCCAACGCUGCUCCCGGACUGCCGCUGUGACACUGCGGAGUCCCCCCCCCCCCCCCCCCAAUGUUCCGGGUAGAAGCAGCACUCAAAACAAUGGGUUCCAACCGGUCUAUCAGUGGAUUCUUGCUAUUAUUUUAAAUUUUUAUUUUCCUUUGCCUCUAGGUCCCAAUACUUUCUAGAAACUAGUUUGACUUGACAGACUCUAAAAUUUCUUCAUAUAUAUGGCAGAAUAAAAAUCCUUGAUUAAGUAAGAAAUAUUUACAGAAAUCAAAAAGGGAGAGUUGUUUGGCAAUGCCAAAUUUUAGAUUCUAUUAUUGGGCAAUUAAUAUUCGAUAUUUAAUGUUUUGGACACAAGAUCCAGAUGAAAUUCAUUGUCCACGAUGGAUGAACCUCGAGCGUGAAUUUUCAUUGGCUUCUAUCUUAGGGGCCUCACUUCCCUUUGCACUUACCAAACUGAAUAAACAAAUGACUAAUCCAAUAACUAAACAUACAAUAUGAAUAUGGUUUCAAUGUUGUAAAUUUUUUGGAUUGAAUAAAUUUAUCCUAUCAAGUCCUAUUAUAUCUAAUUUUUUCUUCCAACCUUCCAGAAUUGAUCAAGCUUUUCUUUUAUGGAGAAUGAAAGGAAUACAUGUUUUCGUGACUUAUUCAUGGAUACUGUCUCAUGUCUUUUGAACAGUUGUCUAAUAAAUAUAGUUUGCCUAGAUCACAUAUUUUCAGAUAUUUACAGAUUAGAAACUUUGAAUAUUAUGUUAUCUACCUUUCUGGUAUCACAUCAAACUGAAAUUACAGAAAAAAAUUUAGGUUUGGGUUCUCUGGAUGCAUUCAAGAGAGAGUUAGAUAGAGCUCAUAGAUAGCGGGGUCAAGGGAUAUGGGGAGAGGACAGGAACGGGGAACUAAUUAUGUAUGAUCAGCCAUGAUCACAGUAAAUGGCGGUGCUGGCUAGAAGGGCCGAAUGGCCUACUCCUGCACCUACUGUCUAUUGUCUAUAAACCCCUAUCAGAAGAGUUUAACAGCAAUUAUUUAUUAUCUGAUUAUGAAAAUACGUCUAGGUACAUCUGAUAAAAUUAAGAAUGAAUGGGAAAGAAAAUUUAAGGUAUCUUUACUUAUAGAGAAAUGGGAGAAAAUUAUCCAACUACAAACACUUCUUCAAUGUGUGCUAGACAUGCCUUAAUACAAUUUAAAGUGGUUCAUAGGGCCCAUAUGUCCAAGGAUAAGUUAGCUCGUUUUUAUUCGGCAUGGACUAGAAGGGCCAAGAUGGCCUGUUUCCGUGCUGUAAAAAAAAACAAGCAAAAGGAAAGAACUAUGUACAAGUAGGGAGUGAUUUUUUUUUAAAACAGAUUCAUUGAUUUGUGAGAAUAAAAUCAGGCCUAUGAGGCAUUAUGUAGUUAAACCAUUUUCCCCAGUAUGAAUCAAAUUGUUCCAGCUUAUGAUAAACAGAUGCUGUUAUCUUCUCCAUUUUGUAAAUGUCCAUUGUAAUUUCCAUCCAUAUAUUUAAAGUUGGGCUCUCCUGUGAUAACCAUUUCCUAGUAAGAGUCUUUUUACCAGCCACCAACAGUAUAUUCAUUAAAUAUUUAUCUCUUCAACCAUUCUUGAGGUAUAUAUCCAAAAUAUAUGGUCUUACUCUCCAAGGGUAUUUCACAUUUAAAGAUGUCUUGUAGGGCAUUGAGUAUCCCCCUCCAAUAGUUUUUGAUAACAGGGCAGUCCCAAAAAAUAUGAUAAUGAUUUGCAUUUUGAUUUCCACAAUUUCUCCAGCAAACAGGGAGGUUACUAUCAUAAUGGGAUUUCUGAGAGGGUGUAAUAAAAUAUCAAAUUUUUCCAUCCAAACUUCCUCCAUUUCUGUGAAUUGGUACACUUUGUAAAUGGAAAGAUUCUAAUCCCCCUACUACAUUUCAAUGGUUUUCCCAAACUAUAACAUGCUUAAACUUGGAAAAAAUUAGGAGUGGCACUAUCGACCCUUCGGUUAAAUUUGAAGCAACUUGGAGACCAUUUAUUCAACAUUUUCAUAUGAUGUAAGCUGACCUUUUCUGAAUCCUUCUCAAUAACUGUUUGUUCAUGUAUAGAGGAGCAGAGUUAAUGCCAAACAACGAUUUUAACUGAUGAAACAAGGCAGCCUAACUUUUGAUUUGUUUUUAUUCUGUUUUCUUUGUCAGUUUAGGGGGAUUUUUUUUUCUUGUAAAAAUCUUUUUUUCUUUGAAUCUUUUUCAUGUUUAGUUACUAAGAGAUUGGGAGGCUUAGAUUACACAUUUUACUUGGAGUCUGUUUAUGUAUACUUUAACCUUUUAUUAAUGUAAUCCCGAUCUCUUUGUAUCACUAUCAUUGUUAUGUUUAUUUGAAACUUAAUAAAAAAAGAUUGAUAAAGAAAAAUGAGGUCAGAGAAAUAUUAGUGGGGGACAAGGAGAUGAGUGAUGAACUAAAUGAGUAUUUUGCAU